rnacentral:lncRNA from 1 species
UGUGUGGAUUGUUUCCUCAUUCGGGCAAAAUAAUAGUUCCUUCUUCGUGAGGCUCUUGUGAUGAUUAAGUGAGUUAAUAUAGGUGCCAGGCUGAUGGCUGACCAUGUGUUUUAAUAAUUAAUAAUAAUAAUAAAAUUGAAAGUACUGGAGAUUGAAUUCAGGGUCUCAAAACUGCUCUACCACCUGAGCCUGUCCCAGUCAUUUUGCUUUUAGUUUGUUUUUCAUAGGUUCUCCUGUUUUUGCUUGGGCCUGCCUCAGACCUCGAUCCUCUUAUCUCUGCCUCCUGAGUAGCUGGGAUUACAGACAUGACCCACGACACCCAGCCUCCUGUUAUUAAGAAGGACGGUGAGAUGGUGCAUUUAAAAGUGGUUCCUGCUAUAUUUGUAGGUAGUCAGCAGUCAUGGCUUUUUUAAAUUGUGGUUUUAAACACAGGCAACUCUUGCUUCACUGUGUGGUAUGGAGGUAGCUGAUCUUAGCCUGGUUCUGUCUGGCCAGGAAGGGAGAAGGCAACCUCAGUAGCUUCUUCCUGGGGAUUCCCAAGGGUUUUGCCACAUUUCAUGUCUUUUUUUUUUUUUUUGUGACUCCAGAAGCGUUUGGGGUGGAGGAGGGUGGCCUGGGGGCUGGGGUCGGAGACAGAAGGGGAACCCUCCUGACAAAGAGGUCUUUCUUUCCUUUUUUAGGGUGCUGGGGCCAGAACCCAGGGUUUCAGACAGGCCAGGUGAACACUCUGCCACAGAGCUACACCCCAGGCCAAUGCCAUCUCCUGAUGAUACCGUCAGCUUGGCCACCAGUGGAUGAGGACACCACUCUCAAAGCUGGACAUGCUUUGAGACCAGAAGUCGCCCCAAGGUGCCUUCCCAGGGAGCCAGCUGCAGAAGGGACCAGGCACAGUCAGCAUCUGAAUGACAGAGUGAGAAAGGCCUGUGGGCUGCCUUGGGGGCUCAGAAAGGCUGCCCAUAGGCUCCCUCCACCCCUGUGGGUUUGAACUCAGAGCCUCUUUCUUACUAGGUAGGUGCUUGAGCCACUCCGCCAGCCCUUUCUUGUGUUGGGUAUUUUUGAGAUAGGGUCUUCCAAACUAUUUGCCAGGGCUGGCUUUGAACCCUGAUCCUCCUGAUCUCUGCUCCUGGAGUAGCUAGGAUUACAGGUGUGAGCCUCUAGCGCCCACAGGCUUUUGACACGGACUCUUAGGCUAACCACUGAGCCCCAUCCUAAGUCACCCCUUGGAUGUUAUAUCACAGGCACUGUCAUCAUGCCCAUUUUAUAGAGAGGGGACUGAGCCCUGGGAGUGACCUGCUCGGAGGUCCAGGGAGUGUGCUGGGCUAUCUGUCUUUACUGAACUGAGCUGCGGGGGACAAGAGCUGUCCUGCAGAGGGGAGGGGGGCCCCAGGCUGUAUGCUCUGGUUCCAGGUUGGUGGUCCACG